GAUGAACGCUGACAGAAUGCUUAACACAUGCAAGUCGAUGGGGAAGUGGUGCUUGCACCAUGGUAACCAUGGCGGACGGGUGAGUAACGCGUAAGGAACUUGCCUGCGGGACCGGGAUAACAGCAGGAAACUGCUGACAAGACCGGAUAAGGUCAUUAAGCCGCAUAGCUUGGUGAUGAAAGGAGACGCCUGCGGAGAGCCUUGCGUCCUAUUAGCUAGUUGGAGGGGUAACGGCCCACCAAGGCGAAGAUAGGUAGCCGGCCUGAGAGGGUGGACGGCCACAAGGGGACUGAGAUACGGCCCUUACUCCUACGGGAGGCAGCAGUGGGGAAUAUUGGACAAUGGGGGCAACCCUGAUCCAGCAAUUCUGUGUGCACGAAGACGGUUUUCGGAUUGUAAAGUGCUUUCAGCAGGGAAGAAGGAAGUGACGGUACCUGCAGAAGAAGCGACGGCUAAAUACGUGCCAGCAGCCGCGGUAAUACGUAUGUCGCGAGCGUUAUCCGGAAUUAUUGGGCAUAAAGGGCAUCUAGGCGGCCUUUCAAGUCAGGGGUGAAAACCUGCGGCUCAACCGCAGGCCUGCCUUUGAAACUGAUAGGCUGGAGUACCGGAGAGGUGGACGGAACUGCACGAGUAGAGGUGAAAUUCGUAGAUAUGUGCAGGAAUGCCGAUGAUGAAGAUAGUUCACUGGACGGUAACUGACACUGAAGUGCGAAAGCCGGGGGAGCGAACAGG
rnacentral:rRNA from 1 species